UACAGAGGGUGCGAGCGUUAAUCGGAAUUACUGGGCGUAAAGCGUACGCAGGCGGCUAUGUAAGACAGGUGUGAAAUCCCCGGGCUUAACCUGGGAACUGCAUUUGUGACUGCAUAGCUAGAGUCUGUCAGAGGGGGGUGGAAUUCCACGUGUAGCAGUGAAAUGCGUAGAGAUGUGGAGGAACACCGAUGGCGAAGGCAGCCCCCUGGGAUAAGACUGACGCUCAUGUACGAAAGCGUGGGGAGCAAACAGG
rnacentral:rRNA from 1 species